rnacentral:rRNA from 1 species
GACGAGGCACUACGGUGCUGAAGCAACAAAUGCCCUGCUUCCAGGAAAAGCCUCUAAGCAUCAGGUAACAUCAAAUCGUACCCCAAACCGACACAGGUGGUCAGGUAGAGAAUACCAAGGCGCUUGAGAGAACUCGGGUGAAGGAACUAGGCAAAAUGGUGCCGUAACUUCGGGAGAAGGCACGCUGACACGUAGGUGAAGUGAUUUACUCAC